rnacentral:rRNA from 1 species
CAGCAGCCGCGGUAAUACAGAGGAUGCAAGCGUUAUCCGGAAUGAUUGGGCGUAAAGCGUCCGUAGGUGGCUUUUCAAGUCCGCCGUCAAAUCCCAGGGCUCAACCCUGGACAGGCGGUGGAAACUACCAAGCUGGAGUACGGUAGGGGCAGAGGGAAUUUCCGAUGGAGCGGUGAAAUGCGUUGAGAUCGGAAAGAACACCUACGGCGAAAGCACUCUGCUGGGCCGACACUGACAUUGAGAGACGAAAGCUAGGGGAGCAAAUGGGAUUAGAUACCCGGUAGUCCCUGUCUCUUAUACA